UACGGAGGGUGCGAGCGUUGUCCGGAAUCACUGGGCGUAAAGGGCGCGUAGGCGGCUCAUGAAGGCUGUGGUGAAAGUCCGGGGCUCAACCUCGGAUCGGCCGUGGCGACUCGUGGGCUGGAGCACUGUAGAGGCGGGUGGAAUUCCGGGUGUAGCGGUGGAAUGCGUAGAUAUCGGGAGGAACACCUGCGGUGUAGACGGCUUUCUGGACCAUUGUUGACGCUGAGACACGAAAGCGUGGGUAGCAAACAGG
rnacentral:rRNA from 1 species